UUCAACAGGGUGGUUCAGAGAUAUGCUCCGCAAGAGCUGUGGAAUGCUGGUGAAGAAACUUCAUGGUCACCAACCCCCAGAGCCGCGCAACACCAAAGAAUGAAAGCAUGACGCCUCACUGAACAAGAUGAGUGACAGGUCCUGUCAGAGUCUGAGCAGCUGACGUCUGAAAGACAGUUGAGAUUUGAGUUCAACUGCUCCACUGUCAACCAACCAGAACCUACAUAACAAACUUAAAAACUUGUGUUUUAAAUGUUUUAAUUUUUUUAUCAGUAUAUAAGAUAUUCAAACAAUCAGACUUCUAAUGUAGAUCAAACUACAUACAUGAUCAAAUCAGUCAGCUUAAUGCUUUAAUAACUCUCUCAACAUCGACCAUGUCCUGCUGUGUUGCCGUACUGUAAGGACC